UACGGGGGGGCAAGCGUUGUUCGGAAUUACUGGGCGUAAAGGGCUCGUAGGCGGCCAACUAAGUCGGACGUGAAAUCCCUCGGCUCAACCGGGGAACUGCGUCCGAUACUGGAUGGCUUGAGUUCGGGAGAGGGAUGCGGAAUCCUGGUGUAGCGGUGAAAUGCGCAGAUAUCAGGAGGAACACCGGUGGCGAAGGCGGCAU
rnacentral:rRNA from 1 species